UUUAUUAUCGUGCGACUUUUAGUCGCUAAAAUGAAGCAUUUAUAGUUUAAUGAACAUGCACGCAUUCUGCGACAAAAUAAUCGCUGCGACUAAAUAAUAGAACCAGUCCUAUUUUAGCAGCGACGCGACUAUCGCUGUUUUGAACGAAGCAUACCGACUCGUAGGGACGUGCACGCAUUGCGAUUAUUUAGCAGUACGAUUUUCGUUGGAUUGGAACCGUCCGACGUUUUCCCUGUUUUCAAUUGUGAUUAGUAGUACAUAUAUAAUAUAUUUAAUUUUGGGUGUGAAAUAUUUGAUAUUAAUAAAAAAUUAUGUCUGACAAUGAAGAAACGACCCACAUCGUUCUUGAUACUGAGAGAAUUAUUGUGGAAGUGGAAAAAAGACCAGCGCUGUAUAAUAAAGAAGUGAAAGAAUACAGCGAUAGAAAUGCGAAAGAGAAAUUAUGGACAGAAGUAUGCGCAAAUGUAAUACCAAAAUGGCAUGAACUAUCAGAUGCAGAAAGAAAAGACAGAGGGAAAGAAGUUCAAAAAAAGUGGAAGAAUCUGAAAGACCGUUUUGCGAGAGAGCUUGCUGCUCAGAAAAAAAUAAAAUCUGGUGAGCCUGCAAAAAAACGUCGGAAAUACAUCUACUUCGACGCAUUGCUAUUUUUACUUCCUCACCAACAACCCAGGACAACAAGUGGCAAUGUAGGGCCUUAAGGGCGACAAGGAAGAACUGUUAGACCAUAAUAAAGGACCCAGAAACGAUGAUGGAGAGCUUUCAAACGAUCAUGGAGGUCCCAGGAAUAACAACGAGGAGACUCCACGUUCUUUACCCUCUGCAAAACCUGCACAGAGGACACCACGCAGUCUUUCCAGCAAAUCUUCUCAUCAAAUAUCCACAUAUGAGGCUUCGUUAUUAGAGAUUUUAAAGAACAAACAAACGGAGGAAGUUUCAGAGGAUAAAAACUUUGCUCUUAUGUUAAUUCCUAUGUUGGCCAAACUAAACGACGAGCAAAAACAUUUGGCCAAAAUUGAAGUACUAAAUGUGAUGAGAAAUGCAAAAUUCUAUACACAGCCUGGGCCAUCAACACAAACUAACUUCCAUCAGUAUUUCCAUCCAGGCCCACAUAAUAUGCAGCAUCAAACCUCUGUACGUUUGCCAGCAGCUUUGCCUCAAUUUUCCAAUACAACCUCUGUACGUUUGCCAGCAGCUUCGCCUCAAUUUUCCAAUACAACAUCUGUAAGUUUGCCAGCAAGUUCGCCUUAGUUUUCCAACCAGUCUGAUAAAAACUCUUUCCUCCAGACCUACUAUUCGGAAUUUUCGAAUAAUUUUGAGUCAUCAAGAGAUUAUGAUAGCGAAUUAUAUGACUUGUAAUCAUAAUGUAUUAAUAAACUAAAAGGAAUAAAUU